rnacentral:rRNA from 1 species
AGAACGAACGCUGGCGGCAGGCCUAAAACAUGCAAGUUGAACGCUCUAGCAAUAGAGAGUAGCGCACGGGUGCGUAACACGUGGGAAUAUGCCUUUUGGUACGGAACAACGUUUGGAAACGAACGCUAAUACCGUAUGGUCCCUUCGGGGUAAAGAUUUAUCGCCAAAAGAGUAGCCCGCGUCUGAUUAGCUAGUUGGUGAGGUAAUGGCUCACCAAGGCGACGAUCAGUAGCUGGUCUGAGAGGACGAUCAGCCACACUGGGACUGAGACACGGCCCAGACUCCUACGGGAGGCAGCAGUUAGGAAUCUUGGACAAUGGACGCAAGUCUGAUCCAGCCAUGCCGCGUGAGUGAUGAAGGCCUUCGGGUUGUAAGCUCUUUAGCCGAUGAAUAUAAUGACUGUAGUCGGAGAAUAAGCCCGGCUAACUUCGUGCCAGCAGCCGC